GAUGAACGCUGGCGGCGUGCCUAAUACAUGCAAGUCGAGCGAACAGACGAGGAGCUUGCUCCUCUGACGUUAGCGGCGGACGGGUGAGUAACACGUGGAUAACCUACCUAUAAGACUGGGAUAACUUCGGGAAACCGGAGCUAAUACCGGAUAAUAUAUUGAACCGCAUGGUUCAAUAGUGAAAGACGGUUUUGCUGUCACUUAUAGAUGGAUCCGCGCCGCAUUAGCUAGUUGGUAAGGUAACGGCUUACCAAGGCAACGAUGCGUAGCCGACCUGAGAGGGUGAUCGGCCACACGGGAACUGAGACACGGUCCAGACUCCUAAGGGAGGCAGCAGAAGGGAAUCUUCCGCAAUGGGCGAAAGCCUGACGGAGCAACGCCGCGUGAGUGAUGAAGGUCUUCGGAUCGUAAAACUCUGUUAUUAGGGAAGAACAAAUGUGUAAGUAACUAUGCACGUCUUGACGGUACCUAAUCAGAAAGCCACGGCUAACUACGUG
rnacentral:rRNA from 1 species